AGAGUUUGAUCAUGGCUCAGAGCGAACGCUGGCGGCGUGCCUAACACAUGCAAGUCGAACGUGAAAAGGGGCAACCCUGAGUAAAGUGGCGUACGGGUGAGUAACGCGUAGGUAAUCUACCGAAGAGUCUGGAAUAACCUGCCGAAAGGCGGGCUAAUACUGGAUAGAGCGACGGAAUCCGUAAUUGGGUUUUUCGGGAAAGGGAGGACGCAAGUCCCUUCGCUCUUCGAUGAGCCUGCGUCUCAUUAGCUAGUUGGUGGGGUAAAGGCCCACCAAGGCAUUGAUGGGUAGCUGGUCUGAGAGGAUGAUCAGCCACACUGGAACUGAAACACGGUCCAGACUCCUACGGGAGGCAGCAGUGGGGAAUCUUGCGCAAUGGACGAAAGUCUGACGCAGCCACGCCGCGUGAGUGAAGAAGGCCUUCGGGUUGUAAAGCUCUGUCGAGCGGGACGAAAACUUUUAGGGUUAACAGCCCUAGAAAUUGACGGUACCGCUAAAGGAAGCACCGGCUAACUUCGUGCCAGCAGCCGCGGUAAUACGAGGGGUGCAAGCGUUGCUCGGAAUUAUUGGGCGUAAAGGGUAGGUAGGUGGUCUCAUUUGUCUCGGGUGAAAUCCUUGGGCUUAACCCAAGAAGUGCCCGAGAAACGGUGAGACUGGAGUCUUGGAGAGGGUCGUGGAAUUCCCGGUGUAGCGGUGAAAUGCGUAGAGAUCGGGAGGAACACCAGAGGCGAAGGCGGCGACCUGGACAAGCACUGACACUCAACUACGAAAGCGUGGGGAGCAAACAGGAUUAGAUACCCUAGUAGUCC
rnacentral:rRNA from 1 species